GACGUAGGGCGCGAGCGUUGUCCGGAUUUAUUGGGCGUAAAGAGCUCGUAGGCGGUUUGUCGCGUCUGCUGUGAAAACCCGAGGCUCAACCUCGGGCCUGCAGUGGGUACGGGCAGACUAGAGUGCGGUAGGGGAGAUUGGAAUUCCUGGUGUAGCGGUGGAAUGCGCAGAUAUCAGGAGGAACACCGAUGGCGAAGGCAGAUCUCUGGGCCGUAACUGACGCUGAGGAGCGAAAGCGUGGGGAGCGAACAGG
rnacentral:rRNA from 1 species